ACAUAGUUUCAUCUCUUUUGCAUUUGACACAUUUGGAUUGCUAGGCUCAGAAGCAGUUGAGCUCCUCAGGAGAGUGCAGAAGAUAAUGGAUAGCAACGUGAUGACUGCAGGUUCGAACGAAUAUAUAUUUAGGAGAAUCGGGUUUGCUAUCCAGAAAGGACUUGCUACGCAGUUUGUAGCGCGUUUGUCCUCUACUUUUGUGUAAUUCGUUGAGC
rnacentral:lncRNA from 1 species